rnacentral:tRNA from 1 species
GAGGGUAUAGCUCAGUGGUAGAGCGUGUGCUUAGCAUGCAUGAGGUCCUGGGUUCAAUCUCCAGUACCACCA